CCUCUCUCAGGAUCGCACCUGGAGAGUUUCCAGUACUCUACCAGUCUCAGCUACAGGAGGGAGGAGUCAAGCAGAGGCAUAACCAUUCCAUUCCUAGCUUGGGCAGUGCCUAGCAAGUGGAAGGCAAUCUGCUACAAGU